rnacentral:sRNA from 1 species
UUGUAUAUAACUCAUGUAUCAUUCAUUAAAUGUAAAGAAUAGAAUCUAUUUUCAUCGCCUCUCAUCUUCUUCCUCUCAACAUCAUCUUCUUCAUCCAUCCUUUUUCCUUCAUCGUUUCUGUUCGUGUUUCACUAAUAGAAAUUGAUGAUA